rnacentral:rRNA from 1 species
GAUGAACGCUGGCGGCGUGCCUAAUACAUGCAAGUCGAGCGAACAGACGAGGAGCUUGCUCCUCUGACGUUAGCGGCGGACGGGUGAGUAACACGUGGAUAACCUACCUAUAAGACUGGGAUAACUUCGGGAAACCGGAGCUAAUACCGGAUAAUAUAUUGAACCGCAUGGUUCAAUAGUGAAAGACGGUUUUGCUGUCACUUAUAGAUGGAUCCGCGCCGCAUUAGCUAGUUGGUAAGGUAACGGCUUACCAAGGCAACGAUGCGUAGCCGACCUGAGAGGGUGAUCGGCCACACUGGGACUGAGACACGGUCCAGACUCCUACGGGAGGCAGCAGUAGGGAAUCUUCCGCAAUGGGCGAAAGCCUGACGGAGCAACGCCGCGUGAGUGAUGAAGGUCUUCGGAUCGUAAAACUCUGUUAUUAGGGAAGAACAAAUGUGUAAGUAACUAUGCACGUCUUGACGGUACCUAAUCAGAAGGCCACGGCUAACUACGUG